UACAGAGGGUGCAAGCGUUGUUCGGAAUUAUUGGGCGUAAAGCGCGUGUAGGCGGCUUUGCAAGUCGGGUGUGAAAGCCCUCAGCUUAACUGAGGAAGUGCGCCCGAAACUGCUUGGCUUGAGUACCGGAGAGGAUGGCGGAAUCCCCCAAGUAGAGGUGAAAUUCGUAGAUAUGGGGAGGAACACCGGUGGCGAAGGCGGCCAUCUGGACGGAUACUGACGCUGAGACGCGAAAGCGUGGGUAGCAAACAGG
rnacentral:rRNA from 1 species